GUGACACUGACCUGCCAGGGCUCGGGGACCGCCGGUGUCACCACCUGGUACAGGGACGGGAAGCGAUGGGGACAGCAGGGACGAGACCAAGUCACUGUCACCGAGAGUGGCACCUACACGUGUGACAAACCCGGCACCGAGCUCAGCCACCCCGUGACGGUGUCAAAGGACCGGCUGGUGCUGCAGGUGCCGGCGCGGGCGCUGCUGGAGGGGGACACGCUGACACUGCGCUGCCGGGGCUGGGAGAACACAGAGCUCACAAGUGUGUACUUCUACCAUGAAGAGAAGGUUCUGAAGGGCCCCAGUGAUGCGACCGAGCUGUCCCUGUCCCCUCUGCAGCUGCACCACAGUGGCCGCUACUGCUGCAAGGGCUGGCUGGGCUCUGUCCUGGCACAGUGGAGGGAGUCAGAGGUGGUGACAGUGACAGUGCAGAGGGUCCCGCCCUCGGGGGUGUCCCUGUCGGUGCAGCCCCCCGGGGGACAGGUGGCACC